rfam:Trichobilharzia regenti genome assembly, scaffold: TRE_scaffold0001416
AUCCAGUGGCUGACGAGUUCCAAAUAGGACGAAAUGCACAUCCUGGAU